AUGGUGACAUGGGCUGUCGGCCAGUUCGGAGUGAAAGGUGUGGACACAUCUAUGUCUACUCGCUGGUUCGUACGGGAGCCCGGGAGAAAAGAGAUCAAACUGUGCAGCUGGGUGACUGGUGCUCUCCGCAAAAUUUGCACAUGCUUGAUCCUCGUCUCCACAAAGUUGGCUUCACAACGCUGGAGCGUCCGGGGUAGCUUCACACAGCAUAACCAAGAGAUCCUCACAUUGCAACUGAUGUUGUUCCUAUCUCUUGAUCAUCAAACUCUGUUAUUGAACAUGGAUCAAGUGUACAUGUACUUCCGUGGAAGUGCAACAACAAUGUAUAAAGGAAAAUGGGACCAGACAAUGAUAUCACUAUGCGCAAGGACCAUAUAUGCACAAGUCUCCGUGCUUGAUGAAAUUUUGGUUAAUAAGGGCAUACUGCCUCAUGCCACGAAGCACAUAGCCACGACAUGUAUCCGGGAGAAGCAAGAAGCAGAUCAUGUGCUUAGUGUUGAUCUUCAACUGCAAUUCUCUGUGCAUCCUAUUCCAGAUGAAUCACCUUAUGUCUGCUGCCAGUUGACUAUUUACCUCGAGCGGCACCGCCCCUCUAGGGCGACUCCUCCUUGCGCUGCCAGGACUCCCAAUUUCCUCCCUUCCACCUCGCCGCCACAUGAGGCUGACGCUGGGGUUGAGAGCUCGGAUCUAGGGUUGUGGCCCUCUCGCGAGGCCAACCUCUCAUGUGUUGAGGAGGGGCUGGAGGGUUGCAGGUCGCUGGAUCGGGUGACCGACGGCUACCUUGCAGGUUGGGCCGGAGCUUUGUUGCCCCGAUGGCCGAUGACGUCGGAUCUGGCGGUUGCAUCUCGUCCCGACAUGGUGCAUUCCACCUCGGCCGGAUCUUGGCCAUGCUUGGACAUCGGUGCCGUUCUCCCUCUUGGGCGCAUUGUUUUCAAGAAGCAAGUGUACAUGUACUUCCGUGGAAGUGGAAAAUCCCAGGAGUUGCAACAACAUGCAGCACGAGGUGCCCUGAGCUCUGCGUUCUGA
rnacentral:rRNA from 1 species